rnacentral:rRNA from 1 species
CAAUAGCGUAUAUUAAAGUUGUUGCAGUUAAAAAGCUCGUAGUUGGAUUUCUGGUGGGAGCGAUCGGUCUGGCGCUUAGCGCGAGUACUUGCAUCGUCUCCGGCCAUCCUUGGGGAGAGUCUGUCUGGCAUUAGGUUGUCGGGCAGAGGAUCCUCAUCGUUUACUGUGAAAAAAUUAGAGUGUUCAAAGCAGGCUUAUGCCGUUGAAUAUAUUAGCAUGGAAUAAUAAGAUAGGACUUUGGUACUAUUUUGUUGGUUUGCGCACCAAAGUAAUGAUUAAUAGGGACAGUUGGGGGUAUUCGUAUUCCGUUGUCAGAGGUGAAAUUCUUGGAUUUACGGAAGACGAACUACUGCGAAAGCAUUUACCAAGGAUGUUUNCAUUG